rnacentral:rRNA from 1 species
AACGUAGGAGGCAAGCGUUAUCCGGAGUCACUGGGCGUAAAGGGCGGGUAGGUGGUUGUGUAAGUUGGUUAUGAAAGCUCCUGGCUAAACUGGGAGAGGUUGACCAAGACUGCAGAACUUGAGUGGAGAAGAGGUAAACGGAAUUCCGCGUGUAGUGGUGAAAUGCGUAGAGAUGCGGAAGAACACCAGUGGCGAAGGCGACGUGCUGGGUUGCACCUGACGCUGAGAUGCGAAAGUGUGGGGAGCAAACGGG